UAGUAACGGCGAGUGAAGCGGGAAGAGCUCAAGCUUAAAAUCUCCGUGCAAGUUUUGCGCGGCGAAUUGUAGUCUAUAGAGGCGUGGUCAGCGUGGGCGCUUGGGGCAAGUUCCUUGGAAGAGGACAGCAUGGAGGGUGAUACUCCCGUUCAUCCCUGAGUGGCUCGUGCGUACGACCCGUGUUCUUUGAGUCGCGUUGUUUGGGAAUGCAGCGCAAAGUAGGUGGUAAAUUCCAUCUAAAGCUAAAUAUUGGUGCGAGACCGAUAGCGAACAAGUACCGUGAGGGAAAGAUGAAAAGAACUUUGAAAAGAGAGUUAAAGAGUACCUGAAACUGCUGAAAGGGAACCGAAUCGUUUCCAGUGUCUAUAAUCCGUGGCAUAUUUCAUUGGCGAGUGUGUGCGUGCGUGUGCUGUGGCAGUGGCUUUUUUGGCUGCGCUCGGUGUGUGUGCUGUGUGUGCUUGCUGGUGCCCUGUGCUGCGGUGGGACGUCAAGGUCAGUUCGUAUGCUGCGGGAAAUGGCUGCCGAGGAGGUAGGGCUUACGCUCCGCGUUUGUCUGUUAUAUCUUGGUGGACGAGUCGUCGCGGUUGGGACUGAGGUGCCUACAACGUGCUUUUGAGUGGGUUUGUGUCUCCGUGUGCGCCGUGUGCGGAUAGCUUGCUAUGCGUGUGUGGUUGUGUGUGGAUUGAUGCGGGCUUUAACUUGUCGCCGUUC
rnacentral:rRNA from 1 species